rnacentral:tRNA from 2 species
GGGCGGUUAGCUCAGUGGUUAGAGCGCUGCGUUGACAUCGCAGAGGUCACUGGUUCAAAUCCAGUACUGCCCA